rnacentral:rRNA from 1 species
UACGUAGGGGGCAAGCGUUGGUCCGGAAUCAUUGGGCGUAAAGAGCGUGUAGGCGGCCCGGUAAGUCCGCUGUGAAAGUCCAGGGCUCAACCCUGGGAUGCCGGUGGAUACUGUCGGGCUAGAGUGCGGAAGAGGCGAGUGGAAUUCCUGGUGUAGCGGUGAAAUGCGCAGAUAUCAGGAGGAACACCAAUUGCGAAGGCAGCUCGCUGGGACGUUACUGACGCUGAGGAGCGAAAGCGUGGGGAGCGAACAGG